ensembl:snRNA U6 U6 spliceosomal RNA
GUGCUCACUUCAGCAACACAUGAACUAAACCCGGAAUGACACAGAGCAGGUUAGCACGGCCCCUGCACAAGGCUGACAUGCAGAUGCGUGAAAGAUUCCAUGUUUAA